rnacentral:lncRNA from 1 species
UAUGGAAGAGAACUAAAGGGAACUUACCUUUAGUGGUGACCACUUUUGCGGCGACGAGACGGAAGGAAUUAUCCGCAGUCUUUUUUCGUGGGCAUUAGCGACCUUGGUGACCCUAUCUGUUGGAUAAACAUAAAAACAUACUGUUACGAUUCGUUCUCAGCAACUUCACACGGAUUGCCCAUCGAUUAUAUUAGCGACGAACCCUUUAGUGGCGAUGUGUGCUUUCACAACCACACUAGGCAUGUACGGUUUGAUGUUGCUGCUAAAGGCUACAUUUCCUGUCGUGAGUUCAAAUAGAUUUGUGAAUUUUAUUGUUUCAUUGGUUUAUAUCCCGAACAAAUAAAUGAAAUAUCCCGCUAUAAGGAAUGUUCCAAGAGCCAACAACUCCACCUUACCCUUAUGAAAAUUGUAUGACUUUGUCUUGAAAUUCAAAUGCAGAUUAAGUUCCAUGAUACAAGAAAUAUGUUUCUUAACACACAUAUAAUUGAAGAGCGUGCCUGGUAAUCGAACAUUUUAUUAUAAUCUAUGUUUUAAAAAGCUUGUCUUGGCUUUGUCAAUACAUUUCAUGGCUCCACACUACUACUACAGAAAAGACUUUUAACGACAGACAAAUAUGACGCUCAUGAAUUUAUGACAGAAAAUUUUAUUAGUAUAUGUAUUUCAUGUAUGUUAUAUAGCUCAAGUACUAUUUUCUAUAGGCCUUAAGCCCCCAUGUAUCUUGUGUAUGUUACGUUUUAAUGCAAUGAAAAUCAUACCAUUCUACAUGGUAUCAAAGACUUAUUCCAACCACUCCUAGAAUCUCUCACUUUCCUUCUCUAAUCCAAUCCCUUCAUUCUUUGUCAGCGUCUUCUUCCCUCCUAGCCCUAAUGAGCAGCAAUGGUCCAUCACAACCACCUACUCCUCCUGCCAAGGCUUUAGUGUCACCAACAUUAAAACAUAUGUCCCACUCAUCUUUGAUCUCUCCAGUCACAACUAUGAUCCAUGGAGGGACCUUUUCUUAGUACACUCAUCGCAUUUAAGGUUCUCUACCACAUAGAUAAAACCUAUGAUGCUCGUGACACCACUCCUAUGCAUUUUGAAUGGCAUCAACUUCAUUAGCUUGUAAACUAUGGUUAUUAUCUCUAUCUCUCAAUCUCUCACCACCUCUGUCUAUACCCUUAAUGUCACAACCCAUAAGAUUUGGUGUAAGUAACAGUGAAGUCCUUUUCUGUGAGAACAAAGAUGCAACGUCAUGCAACUUGAAAGUGAAUUGCGCUCAUUCACAGUGGGAGACCUUUCUGUUCAUGAAUACUUUAAUAAAACUAAGAAAAUUGCAGAUCUACUAAAAGGCAUUGAAAAGAAAAUGAAAAAGAAUCAUGUUGUGACUUACGUCAUUAAAGAACCUUCAAGAAAAUUUGAUGCUACUGCUGGAUUUAUUCAUCAUAGUAAUCCUUUUACAACAUUUGAAGAAGAUCGCUCCAUGCUACUUGUUGAAGAACAUAUACUUCUUGCAAAUCAGGUUCCCACUGUAUCUCAUGACAACCAUUCUUCUUUCCUCAGCUUCUUUAUGUCUCAAAUCAACCUUCUAAUCAAGGAAGAGGAACAUAUUCUCAUCGCAAGAAUCGAGGAGGCCAUCAAAAUCCCUCCAGUCAUCGUUGUUUGCGACCCUAUGUUGUCAUCGGAAGCUACUCUGUUGACAUCGGACCAUUUGUCGACCACCAACAAUGGGUUGGGUUUAAUUUCUCCUCCACCCUUCAAUCCGUUCCCAG